rnacentral:rRNA from 1 species
UACGUAGGUGGCAAGCGUUGUUCGGAAUUACUGGGCGUAAAGUGUGCGCAGGCGGCCGAGCAAGUCGAGUGUGAAAGCCCCGAGCUUAACUUGGGAACUGCGCUCGAAACUACUUGGCUAGAGUGUGGCAGAGGGAGGUGGAAUUCCACGUGUAGCGGUGAAAUGCGUAGAGAUGUGGAGGAACACCGAUGGCGAAGGCAGCCUCCUGGGCCAACACUGACGCUCAUGCACGAAAGCGUGGGGAGCAAACAGG